rnacentral:rRNA from 1 species
CGAACGCUGGCGGCAGGCCUAAUACAUGCAAGUCGAACGGCUCUUCGGAGCGGUGGCGGACGGGUGAGUAACGCGUGGGAAUGUGCCCUUUGGUACGGAACAACACAGGGAAACUUGUGCUAAUACCGUAUGUGCCCUUCGGGGGAAAGAUUUAUCGCCAUUGGAGCAGCCCGCGUUGGAUCAGGUAGUUGGUGAGGUAAAGGCUCACCAAGCCUACGAUCCAUAGCUGGUCUGAGAGGAUGACCAGCCACACUGGGACUGAGACACGGCCCAGACUCCUACGGGAGGCAGCAGUAGGGAAUCUUGCGCAAUGGGCGAAAGCCUGACGCAGCCAUGCCGCGUGUAUGAUGAAGGUCUUAGGAUUGUAAAAUACUUUCACCGGGGAAGAUAAUGACGGUACCCGGAGAAGAAGCCCCGGCUAACUUCGUGCCAGCCGCCGCCGUAACAC